GUCCACGCCCUAAAUGAUGUAAACUCGACAUUAGCGAUAUACAGUUAGUGUCCAAGCGAAAGCGUUAAGUUUACCACCUGGGAAGUACGACCGCAAGGUUGAAACUCAAAGGAAUUGGCGGGGUCCGCACAAGCGGUGGAGCAUGUGGUUUAAUUCGAUGAUACGCGAGGAACCUUACCUAGGCUAGAAUGUAGUUUGACCGAUCCUGAAAGGGGUCUUUGUAGCAAUACACAGAUUACAAGGUGCUGCAUGGUUGUCGU
rnacentral:rRNA from 1 species